rnacentral:rRNA from 1 species
UACGUAGGGGGCUAGCGUUGUCCGGAAUCAUUGGGCGUAAAGAGCGCGUAGGCGGCCAGAUAAGUCCGGUGUGAAAGUCACAGGCUCAACCUGUGAAUGCCGCUGGAAACUGUCUGGCUUGAGUCCGGGAGGGGCGAGUGGAAUUCCUGGUGUAGCGGUGAAAUGCGCAGAUAUCAGGAGGAACACCAAUGGCGAAGGCGGCUCACUGGCCCGGUACUGACGCUGAGGUGCGAAAGCGUGGGGAGCAAACAGG